CCUGAGCUCCUUUUCCCUUUGGCUCCGUGCAGGUGGAGAAUGGGUUGAGGAGGCCGCUCGCACCCGCAACGGUUUCUCCAGCAGCCACGACGCCAUCACCGACGAGGAUCUCCUCCGCGUCUCGGAACAGCUUUACAGGGCGGAUCACAACAAAGCCCGCCCGAGCGACAUCGCCAUUAACCCCCAGUACCAGGCGUCCCCCGAUGAGACAGGCGACCAGGAGGACCGCUCCCCGCAGCCGCUCUACAAAUACGUCAACGAGGCGCUUUUCUCCAAACCCACCUACGCAAGCUUCAUUAAACUGCUGGACAACUACCAGAGGGCAACUGGCAGGGAGGAGGAGGUGACGGCGGAGGAGCUGAGGGAGCAGGACAACUUCCUCAAGGAGGUGAUGAAAACCGAGCUCAUGAAGAAACUCUUUGCCUUCCUCCACCAAAAAAGUGAGUGUGGAGCGGGGCAGGGCUGACCAGGGGGUCCCUGGGCAUUGGGUAUCCCAAAGGAAAGCCCCAGCUGGGUGGGACAUGACCCGGGAGGAGGCACUGGAGGAGCUGCCAGGACGUGGGAGAAUGGAGCAGGGCAAAGCUGAAUUGUUCCCAAGGGAGGGGAUUGGGCCAGGGGUGGGGGGAGCCCCCGCUCUGCCUCUCCCUGUGCUCCCACACCGGGACACGGCCCCCUCCUCUCCACGCCGCCU